rnacentral:piRNA from 1 species
UGGUACUGUGUUCUUCUGUCCUUGUGUGU